rnacentral:lncRNA from 1 species
CUGUUAUAUUGAUUUGAUAGUUGACUUGUGUUUAUUGCUGACAAUAGUAUCUUUUACAAAGGAUUUUACUUUUUAGGGAUCACGUUUACUGAAGAGUUUGUUUUCUAUAUAUGCCAAUGUUAAUAUCAGUCCUUUUAUGGUAUUAGUGGUCUUAAAUUGUCUGAUCUUUUUGCAAUGUCUUUUUUGUUGUGAAUACUUUAACGGCAAUCAAUUUCUUUAUGGUAUCUGUUACUGGAGAUUUUCAAUAAAUUUUCCUCCAGAACCUGGCUUGUCUGCUGUAUGUGUGCUGAUGUUGUGAAGUAUCAUGUUCUGUGCACUAUUGGUUAUCAUUCUGAUAUUUUUGUAAUUGGAUUCUUGGUCAUGAUUAUCAUGUUGUGGCAUGCAAAUCAAUCUUAUAAUGAUAAACUCCUGUUUAUGGUCCUAUAUUGAGCUCAGUUUUCUUUUGACUUCUUUCUUGGUGCCUGAAUAUUUUAUCACUUGCCAGGCUGAGCUAUUUAGUUACAAUUUUCUUUUCUUAUUUCUUAGUUUACUCACUUUUGGA